rnacentral:lncRNA from 1 species
ACACCAACUUCAACUCUCUCAACCCUUCAACCCAUCCUCACUUCACCUUCCACUCGAUCCCUGAUGGCCUAUCCGAAACUGAGACCUCCACAAAAGAUCCCGUCCUACUUAUUUCUUGUCUAAAUGCACACUGUUGUGAUCCUUUCCGGAACUGCCUGGCUAACUUGUUAUCUGAUGAUGGUUCAGAGGAGCCUAUUGCUUGUUUAAUCACUGACGCUCUCUUUUAUUUCACUAAAUCUGUUGCUAAGAGCCUCAAGCUUCCAAGGAUGCUGCUAAGAACAGGAAGUGCCACAUCGACUAUUGUUUAUGCCGUAUUUCCACUUCUAUGGGAAAAGGGUUACCUCCCAAAACAAGGUUAGUUUCUCUGAAAACACCUAGUUGCCUACUAAUGCCUCAGGUUUAUAUUCCUAAAUCCUCUACUAAUUAGGUCAUGUAUUUUCCAACUAUGCUCAAACUUAGACUGCUAUCUUUUUACUGUUUUGUUAGAAUCUCAACUAGAAGAGCCAGUGGUAGACCUGUCACCACUCAAAGUGAAAGACCUUCCAAUGAUGAACUCUUGUGACCCACAGGGAUAUUAUCAACUACUGAUUCAAAUGGUAAAGGAAAUCAAAACCGCAGAUGGAAUUAUUUUCAAUACUUUUGAAGAUCUUGAAGAACAAGCACUGGCUACAUUUCGACAAGAAUUUCCCAUCCCAGUUUUUCCAAUAGGUCCAUUUCACAAAUGGUUCUCAACCUCCUAUUCAAGUAGCUUAUUAUCAGAGGAUGAAAGUUGCAUUUCGUGGCUAAAUACUCAAGCACCAAAGUCUGUUGUCUAUGUUAGCUUUGGGAGCACUGCUGCAGUAAAUGAAGCUCAAUUUUUGGAAAUAGCUUGGGGAUUAGCCAACACCAAUCAGGCGUUCUUGUGGGUGGUUCGACCUGGAUUAAUCCAAGGCUCUGAAUGGCUAGAAAAAUUACCUCAAGGGUACCUGGAGGCUUUAGAUGGGAAGGGUCACAUUGUGAAAUGGGCACCACAGAAAAAGGUGCUGGCUCAUCCAGCUGUGGGACUAUUCUGGACUCACAAUGGGUGGAAUUCAACAUUGGAGAGUAUUUCUGAGGGGGUGCCUAUGGUUUGUAUGCCACAUUUCGCCGAUCAAAUGGUAAAUGCAAGAUAUGUAAGUGAUGUUUGGAGAGUAGGGUUGCAGUUAGAGAAUGGGAUCAAGAGAGACGAAAUUGAAAAAACAAUUCAAAAACUGAUGGCAGAGAAAGAAGGGGAAGAGAUCAAAGACGAAAUGUCAAUGCUUAAGGAGAAGACAAAUCUUUCACUCAGAGAAGGUGGCUCUUCAUACCAAUCCUUGGAUGGCUUGGUUAACCAUAUUCUAUCAUUAUAGUCACUGGACGUUGAUCAAAAUGUAUCAUAUUUUCAUCACUAUCAAGUCCCUGAUUGAUCAAAAUGUGUCUGUACUCUGUAGCAUAUCAUCUAUAGGCCAAACAGAAAAAACAGUACAUCAGACUGAGUUUAGAUCACGCAAGUAUUUAUCUGUAGUUCUAUCAAGUUUAGAUCUACGCAAGUAUUUAUAAAAAGACUCCGUUCCUUGUAUUCAGUAUUAUUGGUUUUGUACAAUUCCAGAACAGAACUAAAAGGCUCUUCUCUCUCUUUAUUCGUUUUUCUCUCAUAAUUAUAUAGCCUUUCACUCUUAUGCACUAUAUAUAUAUAUGAUCAAUUUCAGUUUACAUCCCUGAGGUUUAGGGUUAACAUUAUUUCACUCCUCAUAUUUAUAAUUUAAAAAAUUUACCACCUGAAAUUUUCAAUUUUUAUAAAUCAUGCCCAAUUGUUGAAAUUCUGUUUAAUUCAGACGUUAAUUUUGACUUCAUAACUCAUUAAAAAGGCUAAUAUAGUCUUAUAAUAACAUAAAUCUCCUCUUAGAAUUUUUUUUCUACUAUCUCAUGCUAUCAUUUAAUCACUUAACCUUCAAAUUGGACGAAAUUUUAGGAAUUAUGUAUGAUUUAUGAAAAUUGAAGACUUUAAGGGGUAAAUUUUUAAAAUUAAAAAUAUGGAGAGUGAAACGAUGUUAACCCUAAACCUCGGAGAGUAAAUUGAAAUUAAUCCUAAUAUAUACUCCACAUAAUUACAUAUUUCAGAAAAUUUUAUAUGAAAGUGAAAUGUGUAUUUUAAUCUAAUAAUGGGUUCAUUAUUAGAAGAUAAUCAACAGAAACAAUAAGAAUAAUACAGUCAUGAGUCAUUUCAGUGUCUAUUUCAGUGUCUAUGUUUUAUUCAAUGCACCUGCAAAUUAAGGGUCUACAUCUAGCAAACAAGUGGCAAAUAAAUUAAGACUAUGAGAGCUUGUAGUCAAAAAAAGGAUUAUGAUCCUCUCUUUGGCUGGCAGUUGUCUUUGGUUAUCCUUAACUUUGAAUCUCAUUCGUCCAUUUAAAAUCCUAAGGUUUAAAACCAUGACAGCUCAGCAAGUUCCCACUAAAACUCAUUAAAUGAGACAUUUUAAUUACAAACGUCGUUUCUAUGUCGACGGAGACGUUAAAAUGAUUGAGUUCUCUUUCUCUUCCUUUACUUCUCCGCCUUCAGCCGUCUUCUAGUUCUUACUCACCUUCUUGUCAUCUCUUCCUUUGUUCCUGGGGGAUAUUUAUUUUCAAAUCAGGAUUCGCACUAAAGCUCAAAUCGGAAAAGACCCACCAAGAAUUGUAAUCCAAUUUGGGAUGCAGUUGAAAGGUUUUGUUGAUAACCGUAGGUGUAAACCAGAAAUAACAAGAACAGCAGCUGAAAAGCCCGACCAAGAUUUGUUGAUUCAUUCCUUUCGAUUGGGUUUUAAAUUUGGUUUUUUUUUUUAUUUCGAAUGGGCGGCGCUGAAAGUGGCGACCUGGGUCGCGGCUUCUCUGUUUUCAACCCGGUCGGAUGAACUGUUGCCGACGAGGUCGUUGGAAGUGGGUUUGUGGUUGAUUCGGACUUGGAGUUGGUUUCGCUGAAGCUUUUGAUGACAACUUUGCUUCGGGAGCGGCGGCGGGCCGGCCACCAGAGACGGGAGCAGAGGCGGAGCAGGCGGGGAAAAUGGCUUUGGGUCAGAAAUUUGUUUUGGGUUGUGGGUUUGUUGGAGAAGGAGAAAAAAGAUGGAGUCUUUGAAAAUGAAGAAGACUCUGAGGAGUUGGGUUUGGCAUGAAUUUGUUGAAGGAAAUUGCAGGUGCUGGGUUUCUUGCACUCAGAUGAAUGUUGGGGGAGACGUUAAACUGUUGAAGGAGAGAUGAAAUAGAUAGAGAUGUAACAGCGUUAAGCAUUGAUAUAUGUGGAGUAUUAAAAGUACUGUAUUUAUUAUAGAGUUUGCUGAUGUGGGGUUUUAUUAGCCUUUAGAUUUUUCAUCAACGGUUGAUAAUAAAAGCUAAGGAUAAACAAAGGCACCUACCAACCAAUGAGAGGAUCCUAAUCCAAAAUAGAAAGAAAAGAAAUUAAGACAAUGAGAGACGUAACAAAUUAAACUUCAAACAUACAAUUUUGUGGAUCAAAACUGAUGACUAUCAGUGACCAGUCCAUCAAUAGAGAGAGAGAGAGUUGAUUAGAUGGUCAUUGACGGUGAUAACCAGCAAAACUGGAUCCACAAAAUUGUCAAUAGGUUAUAGCGCUAUGUUCAUUAAUAUAUAGAUAUGUAAAGAAAGAAUCAAAGAAACAACACUGGAACAAUUUAGACAUCAGGAGUAGGGAGCAAAGGGGACUCAAACCAGAGCCAAACAAUUUAGACUCCAUUUCGCUCUAAAGUUUAAUGGAGCAAAUUAGGAAAGGCAAGAGGUUGAUACUCUUCCCAUUACCCCUUCAAGGCCGUAUAAACCCUAUGCUUGAGCUAGCUAAUGUUCUACACUUCAGAGGCUUCUCCAUAACCAUCCUCCACACCAACUUCAACUCUCUCAACCCUUCAAACCAUCCUCACUUUACCUUCCACUCGAUCCCUGAUGGCCUAUCCGAAACUGAGACCUCCACAAAAAGUCACAUGCUCCUUGUUUCUUGUCUAAACGCAAACUGUCAUGAUCCUUUCCGAAACUGCCUAGCUAACUUGUUAUCCGAUGAUGGUUCAGAGGAGCCUAUUGCUUGCUUAAUCACUGACCCUCUCUUUGACUUCACUCGAUCUGUCGCUAAGAGCCUUAAGCUUCCAAGGAUGCUGCUAAGAACAGGAAGUGCCACAUCGACUACUGUUUUUGCCGCAUUUCCACUUCUAUGGGAAAAGGGUUACCUCCCCAAACAAGGUAAGUUCUUCUGAAAACACCUAGUUGCCUGGUGGCUAAGAUUUAUAAGCCUAGGUGUUUACUGCUUGAUGGGUCAUGUAUUUUUCAAUUAUCCUCAUACUUAGACAUCUAUGGUUUCACUGCUUUGUUAGAAUCUCAACUAGAAGAGCCAGUAGUAGAGUUGCCACCACUCAAAGUCAAGGACCUUCCAAUGAAUUCUGGUGACCCAAAGAUAUUUUAUCAACUAGUAACUGAACUGGCAAAUGAGGUCAAGACUUCAGAUGGAGUUAUUUUCAAUACUUCUGAAGAUCUUGAAGAACAAGAAUCCGACAAGACUUUCCCAUCCCAAUUUUCCCAAUAGGUCCAUUUCACAAAUGGUUCCCAACCUCCUAUUCAAGUAGCUUAUUAUCAGAGGAUGAAAGUUGCAUUUCGUGGCUAAAUACUCAAGCACCAAAGUCUGUUGUCUAUGUUAGCUUUGGGAGCACUGCUGCAGUAAAUGAAGCUCAAUUUUUGGAAAUAGCUUGGGGAUUAGCCAACACCAAUCAGCCUUUCUUGUGGGUGGUUCGACCUGGAUUACUCCAACGCUCUGAAUGGCUAGAAAAAUUACCUCAAGGGUACCUGGAGGCUUUAGAUGGGAAGGGUCACAUUGUGAAAUGGGCACCACAGAAAAAGGUGCUGGCUCAUCCAGCUGUGGGACUAUUCUGGACUCACAAUGGGUGGAAUUCAACAUUGGAGAGUAUUUCUGAGGGGGUGCCUAUGGUCUGUAUGCCAAUUUUUGCCGAUCAAAUGUUAAAUGCAAGAUAUGUCAGUGAUGUUUGGAGAGUAGGGUUGCAGUUAGAGAAUGGGAUCAAGAGAGACGAAAUUGAAAAAACAAUUCGAAAACUGAUGACAGAGAAAGAAGGGGAAGAGAUCAAAGACAAAAUGUCAAAGCUUAAGGAGAAGACAAAUCUUUCACUCAGAGAAGGUGGCUCUUCAUACCAAUCCUUGGAUGGCUUGGUUAACCAUAUUCUAUCAUUAUAGUCACUGGACGUUGAUCAAAAUGUAUCAUAUUUUCAUCACUAUCAAGUCACUGAUUGAUCAAAAUGUGUCUGUACUCUGUAGCAUAUCAUCUAUAGGCCAAACAGACAAAUCAGUACAUCAGACUGAGUUUAGAUCACGCAAGUAUUUAUAUGUAGUUCUAUCAAGUUUAGAUCUACGCAAGUAUUUAUAAGAAGACUCCGUUCCUUGUAUUCAGUAUUAUUGGUUUUGUACAAUUCCAGAACAGAACUAGAAGGCUCUUCUCUCAUAAUUAUACAGGCUUUCACUCUUAUGCACUACUUAUAAUAUAUAGGAUUAAUUUCAGUUUACACCCCUGAGGUUUAGGGUUAACAUCAUUUCACUUCUCAUACUUAUAAUUUUGAAAAUUUACACCCUAAAGUUUUCAAUUUUCAUAAAUCAUGUCCAAUUGCUGAAAUUUUGUCUAAUUCAGACUUUAAUUUUGACUUCAUAACUCACUAAAAAGGCUAAAAUAGUCUUAUAACAACAUAAAUCGCUUUUUAGGACUUUUUUCCUACGAUUUCAUGCUAUCAUUUAACCUCCAAAUUGGACGAAAUUUUAGCAAUUGUGUUUUGACUUUAUGUAAAAAUUGGAGACUUUAAGGGGUAAAUUUUUAAAAUUAAAAGUAUGAGGAGUGAAACGAUGUUUAACCCUAAAUUUUGAAAAUUUACACCCUAAAGUUUUCAAUUUUCAUAAAUCAUGCCCAAUUGCUGAAUUUCUGUCUAAUUCAGACGUUAAUUUUGAUUUCAUAACUCACUAAAAAGGCUAAAAUAGUCUUAUAACAACAUAAAUCGCUUUUUAUUAUUUUUUUCCUACGAUCUCAUGCUAUCAUUUAACUUCCAAAUUGGACGAAAUUUUAGCAAUUGUGUCUGAUUUAUGAAAAUUGGAGACUUUAGGGGUAAAUUUUUACAAUUAAAAAUACGGGGAGUGAAACGAUGUUAACUUUAAACCUCAGGGGGUAAAUUGAAAUUAAUCCUAAUAUAUACUCCACAUAAUUACAUAUUUCAGAAAAUUUUAUAUGAAAGUGAAAUGUGUAUUUUAAUCUAAAAUGGGUUCAUUAUUAGAAGAUAAUCAACAGAAACAGUAAGAAUAAUACAGUCAUGAGUCAUUUCAGUGUCUAUGUUUUAUUCAAUGCACCUGCAAAUUAAGGGUCUACAUCUAGCAAACAAGUGGCAAAUAAAUUAAGACUAUGAGAGCUUGUAGUCAAAAAAAGAAAUAAAAGAAAUUAAGACUACGAGAGACGUGACAAAUUAAAGUUCAAACAUACAAUGUUGUCAAUAGGUUAUAGUGCUAUGUUCAUUAAUAUAUAGAUAUGUAAAGAAAGAAACAACACUGGAACAAUAUAUUUAGACUCCAGGAGUAGGGAGCAAAGGGGACUCAAACCAGAGCCAAGCAAGUUAGACUCCAUUCGCUCUAAAUUUUAAUGGAGCAAAUUAGGAAAGGCCAGAGGUUAAUACUCUUCCCGUUACCCUUUCAAGGCCAUAUAAACCCUAUGCUUGAGCUAGCUAAUGUUCUACACUUCAGAGGCUUCUCCAUAACCAUCCUCCACACCAACUUCAACUCUCUCAACCCUUCAAACCAUCCUCACUUCACCUUCCACUCGAUCCCUGAUGGCCUAUCCGAAACUGAGACCUCCACAAAAAGUCCCAUGCUCCUUGUUUCUUGUCUAAACAGACGCUGUCAUGAUCCUUUCCGAAACUGUCUAGCUAACUUGUUAUCCGAUGACGGUUCAGAGGAGCCUAUUGCUUGCUUAAUCACUGACCCUCUCUUUAACUUCACUCAAUCUGUCGCUAAGAGUUUUAAGCUUCCAAGGAUGCUGCUAAGAACAGGAAGUGUCACAUCGACUAUUGUUUAUGCCGCAUUUCCACUUCUAUGGGAAAAGGGUUACCUCCCGAAACAAGGUAAGUUCUUCUGAAAACACCUAGUUGCCUAAUGGCUAAGAUUUAUAAGCCUAGGUGUUUACUGCUUGAUGGGUCAUGUGUUUUUCAAUUAUCCUCAUACUUAGACAUCUAUGGUUUCACUGCUUUGUUAGAAUCUCAACUAGAAGAGCCAGUAGUAGAGUUGCCACCACUCAAAGUCAAGGAC